CCUGACGCAGCGACGCCGCGUGAACGAGGAAGGUCUUCGGAUCGUAAAGUUCUGUUGCAGGGGACGAACGGCACUAUAGCCAAUAAGUAUAGUGAAUGACGGUACCCUGUUAGAAAGCCACGGCUAACUACGUGCCAGCAGCCGCGGUAAUACGUAGGCGGCAAGCGUUGUCCGGAAUCAUUGGGCGUAAAGGGAGCGCAGGCGGAACAUUAAGCGGAUCUUAAAAGUGCGGGGCUCAACCCCGUGAUGGGGUCCGAACUGAGGUUCUUGAGUGCAGGAGAGGAAAGCGGAAUUCCCAGUGUAGCGGUGAAAUGCGUAGAUAUUGGGAAGAACACCAGUGGCGAAGGCGGCUUUCUGGACUGUAACUGACGCUGAGGCUCGAAAGCCAGGGUAGCGAACGGGAUUAGAUACCCCGGUAGUCCUGGCCGUAAACGAUGAGUACUAGGUGUAGGAGGUAUCGACUCCUUCUGUGCCGGAGUUAACGCAAUAAGUAUCCCGCCUGGGGAGUACGGCCGCAAGGCUGAAACUCAAAGGAAUUGACGG
rnacentral:rRNA from 1 species